rnacentral:rRNA from 1 species
GAUGAACGCUGGCGGCGUGCCUAAUACAUGCAAGUCGAGCGAACAGACGAGGAGCUUGCUCCUCUGACGUUAGCGGCGGUCGGGUGAGUAACACGUGGAUAACCUACCUAUAAGACUGGGAUAACUUCGUGAAACCGGAGCUAAUACCGGAUAAUAUAUUGAACCGCAUGGUUCAAUAGUGAAAGACGGUUUUGCUGUCUCUUAUAGACGGAUCCGCGCCGCAUUAGCUAGUUGGUAAGGUAACGGCUUACCAAGGCAACGAUGCGUAGCCGACCUGAGAGGGUGAUCGGCCACACUGGAACUGAGACACGGUCCAGACUCCUACGGGAGGCAGCAGUAGGGAAUAUUCCGCAAUGGGCGAAAGCCUGACGGAGCAACGCCGCGUGAGUGAUGAAGGUCUUCGGAUCGUAAAACUCUGUUAUUAGGGAAGAAAAAAUGUGUAAGUAACUAUGCACGUCUUGACGGUACCUAAUCAGAAAGCCACGGCUAACUACGUG